CUAGAGAUGGGUUUCAGGGAAAAGUUUUUUUAAAUUUAAUAAUUAAAGUUAUUUUAAUUUGUGAAGAAACAAUUAUAUAAAUUAAGGACAAGAAGACCCUAAGAAUUUAAGAAUUCUUAUAUUACUUAAAUAUAAAAUAGGAAUUCUUAGUUGGGGCAACUAAAAAACAUUAUAAACUUUUUCUCUUUAAAAUGACCCAUUAUUAAUGAUAAUAUGACUAAAUACUCUAGGG
rnacentral:rRNA from 1 species